UCACCCCUCAAGCCCCGUGCUUGGUGUUGGACGGCCGGUCGAGCGAUCGACCCCUCCGAAAGACAAUGACGGCGGCCUGUGGCUCCCCCGGUACACUGAGCUUCUCACCGAGCACGUAUCGGACAAGGGCGCCCGGGACCCGGUCCUCUCCUUUCACCAGGAAACUUCUAA
rnacentral:misc_RNA from 1 species